rfam:Ipomoea nil DNA, scaffold: scaffold1868, cultivar: Tokyo-kokei standard.
GUUGGUGUGGUGUAGUGGUUAUCAUGCCAAUUUUACACACUGAAGGUUACCAGUUCGAUCCUGGGUAUCAACA